rnacentral:rRNA from 2 species
GAGCGGCGAACGGGUGAGUAACACGUGGGUGAUCUGCCUUGCACUUCGGGAUAAGCCUGGGAAACUGGGUCUAAUACCGGAUAUGACCUCGGGAUGCAUGUUCUGGGGUGGAAAGAUUUAUCGGUGCGAGAUGGGCCCGCGGCCUAUCAGCUUGUUGGUGAGGUAACGGCUCACCAAGGCGACGACGGGUAGCCGACCUGAGAGGGUGACCGGCCACACUGGGACUGAGACACGGCCCAGACUCCUACGGGAGGCAGCAGUGGGGAAUAUUGCACAAUGGGCGAAAGCCUGAUGCAGCGACGCCGCGUGCGGGAUGACGGCCUUCGGGUUGUAAACCGCUUUUGACAGGGACGAAGCGCAAGUGACUGUACCUGUAGAAUAAGGACCGGCCAACUACGUGCCAGCAGCCGCGGUAAUACGUAGGGUCCGAGCGUUGUCCGGAAUUACUGGGCGUAAAGAGCUUGUAGGCGGUUCGUCGCGUCGUUUGUGAAAACUUGGGGCUCAACCUUAAGCUUGCAGGCGAUACGGGCGGACUAGAGUACUUCAGGGGAGACUGGAAUUCCUGGUGUAGCGGUGAAAUGCGCAGAUAUCAGGAGGAACACCGGUGGCGAAGGCGGGUCUCUGGGAAGUAACUGACGCUGAGAAGCGAAAGCAUGGGUAGCAAACAGGAUUAGAUACCCUGGUAGUCCAUGCCGUAAAC